GAGUGGACGCAUCACUGGUGUUCGGGUUGUCAUGCCAAUGGCACUGCCCGGUAGCUAAAUGCGGAAGAGAUAAGUGCUGAAAGCAUCUAAGCACGAAACUUGCCCCGAGAUGAGUUCUCCCUGAGACUAUAAGUCUCCUGAAGGAACGUUAAAGACGAUGACGUUGAUAGGCCGGGUGUGUAAGCGCAGCGAUGCGUUGAGCUAACCGGUACUAAUGAACCGUGAGGCUUAACCUUACAACGCCGAAG
rnacentral:rRNA from 1 species